UACGUGAUGCGCUCAAGCGUUUGUUCGGAUUCAUUGGGCGUAAAGGGUGCGUAGGCGGCGCGUAAGUCGGGUGUGAAAUCAUUGGAGCUUAACUCCGAAACUGCAUUCGAUACUGCCGUGCUUGAGGACUGGAGAGGAGACUGGAAUUUACGGUGUAGCGGUGAAAUGCGUAGAUAUCGUAAGGAAGACCAGUGGCGAAGGCGGGUCU
rnacentral:rRNA from 1 species